rnacentral:rRNA from 1 species
GCAAGUCGAAGGUGAAGCUAGAGCUUGCUCCUUUAAAUUAGUGGCGAACGGGUGAGUAACACGUGGGCAACCUGCCCCUGACUCUGGGAUAACUACUCGAAAGAGUAGCUAAUACCGGAUAUGAAACCUGAAGACAUCUUCGGGUUUGGAAAGUUUUUCGGUCAGGGAUGGGCCCGCGGCCUAUCAGCUAGUUGGUGAGGUAGUGGCUCACCAAGGCGACGACGGGUAGCCGGCCUGAGAGGGCGACC